CCUACGGGCGGCAGCAGUGGGGAAUAUUGGGCAAUGGGCGCAAGCCUGACCCAGCAACGCCGCGUGAAGGAAGAAGGCUUUCGGGUUGUAAACUUCUUUUUAGAGGGAAGAGCAGAAGACGGUACCUCUUGAAUAAGCCACGUCUAACUACGUGCCAGCAGCCGCGGCAAUACGUGGGUGGCAGGCGUUGUCCGGAUUUACUGGGUGAAACGGGCGUGUAGCCGGGCUGACAAGUCUAAUGUGAAAUCCCGGGGCUCAACCACGGAACUGCAUUUGAAACUGUCGGUCUUGAGUAUCGGAGAGGCAGGCGGAAUGCCUGGUGUAGCGGUGAAAUGCGUAGAGAUUAGGAGGAACACCAGUGGCGAAGGCGGCCUGCUGGACUACAACUGACGGUGAGGCGCGAAAGCGUGGGGAGCAAACAGGAUUAGAUACCCUGGUAGUC
rnacentral:rRNA from 1 species